rnacentral:rRNA from 1 species
CAGCCGCCGCGGUAACACGGAGGGUGCAAGCGUUAUCCGGAUUUAUUGGGUUUAAAGGGUCCGUAGGCGGAUCUGUAAGUCAGUGGUGAAAUCUCACAGCUUAACUGUGAAACUGCCAUUGAUACUGCAGGUCUUGAGUAAAUUUGAAGUGGCUGGAAUAAGUAGUGUAGCGGUGAAAUGCAUAGAUAUUACUUAGAACACCAAUUGCGAAGGCAGGUCACUAAGAUUUAACUGACGCUGAUGGACGAAAGCGUGGGGAGCGAACAGGAUUAGAUACCCCCGUAGUCCCUGUCUCUUAUAC